rnacentral:rRNA from 1 species
AUACGUAGGGUGCAAGCGUUAAUCGGAAUUACUGGGCGUAAAGCGUGCGCAGGCGGUUUUGUAAGACAGAGGUGAAAUCCCCGGGCUCCAACUGGGGACUGCCUUUGUGACUGCAAGGCUAGAGGCCGGCAGAGGGGGAUGGAAUUCCGCGUGUAGCAGUGAAAGGCGUAGAUAUGCGGAGGAACACCGAUGGGCAAGGCAUGUCCCUGAGCAUUUACGCAAGCACAUGCACUAGAGCGUUGGGAGCAAACCGGAUUAGUUACCCUGGUAGUCCACGCCCUAAACGAUGUCGACUGGUUGUUGGGUCUUCAUUGACCCAGUAACGAAGGUAACGCGUUAAUUUGGCCGCCUGGGGAGUACGGCCGCAAGGUUGAAACUCAAAUAAUUUGACGGGG